rnacentral:rRNA from 1 species
GACGAACGCUGGCGGCGUGCUUAACACAUGCAAGUCGAACGGAAAGGCCCUGCUUUUGUGGGGUGCUCGAGUGGCGAACGUGUGAGUAACACGUGAGUAACCUGCCCUUGACUUUGGGAUAACUUCAGGAAACUGGGGCUAAUACCUGAUAGGAGCUCCUGCUGCAUGGUGGGGUUUGGAAAGUUUCGGCGGUUGGGGAUGGACUCGCGGCUUAUCAGCUUGUUGGUGGGGUAGUGGCUUACCAAGGCUUUGACGGGUAGCCGGCCUGAGAGGGUGACCGGCCACAAUGGGACUGAGAUACGGCCCAGACUCCUACGGGAGGCAGCAGUGGGGAAUAUUGCACAAUGGGCGGAAGCCUGAUGCAGCAACGCCGCGUGCGGGAUGACGGCCUUCGGGUUGUAAACCGCUUUAGCCUGUGACGAAGCGUGAGUGACGGUAAUGGGUAAAGAAGCACCGGCUAACUACGUG